GUAAUCCCUCGUGCCACUUGUCACUGAUAGCUUGUAGUUGUAUAUUUUUCAUGGAAGUAAUAAUGAAAAUAGUUGGUGUUGGAUAUGUUUAGAAGAAAGUUUUUGAAAUCUGUAACUUUAUCAGGAAUACGUGGAAGGAAUGGUGCAAGCAAGCGGCGGAUAAGCCAUUGCUUGCAAUGCGUUGCUUUGCAAAAUAUAUUACAUCAUUCUAGGUCUGUAUAGUGUAUGAUUUUUAUAUGAGAUUUACUUGAAAAUCAAUCUUCGACCUCUCAUUAAUUUAUAUCUUUAUUUGUAAGAAACUGACUAUGAAUAUACUAUUGUAUUAUCAAAUUUUUGUUACAGUAAAUAUGUAUCAGUCAAUUCCAGCAGUGCCCAUCCCCCCCCCCCCUGGGAAUUAGCCAUUUCUGGAAAGGAAAUGGCUAUGUCCCUACCCCAGGGAAAGAAGAACUGUGAUAAAGCCCCACCCUUGGGCAAACAUGUUGGGUCCAUAUCCCCACCCCCGGGCAAUAAAAUAAACUGUUUAGCACACAUUGAUUUGCAUGUUAUAAUGGGUCGUUCCAGAAAAGAUCCAUACUCCCCCCACGGAGGAAAUUUCUGCCGUCCGGAGGGGGAGGGGAGAAAAAAUUGUUUCUGAUAAUAGUAAAUGUAUUAGGACAUCCGAAGGGGGUAGGAGGGUUAACUUCCUAUUUCCUCCGUGGGGGUUGUAUGGAUGUUUUCUGGAAUGACCCAAUUCUACGCCUAUGGACAAUAUAAAUGCAAACAGUGCUGUAACAGUUACAGUUUAUUUGUAACUAGUUACAGUUAUAGUUACAUUACCAAAACAUAACUAGUUACUGAUACAAGUUACAGAUGCCAAAGUGUAACUACAGUACCGCUCGCGUAUAUCUUAACACUUUUUUGCGUAUGAUACGCGUAUCAUACGAGUAUGAUACGAGUAUGAUACGCGUAUCAUACGCGUAGCGUAUCAUAUGAAUACGUGUAUGCAAUCAUACGCGUAGCAUAACAUAUCAAUACGCGUAUCAACUACGUUCGAAACUACAUAAUUUGAUACUUGCAUAUACGCGUAUGAUAAUUGAGAAUGAUACACGUUAUACAAAACUCCGUUCAGGUAGUAAGUGCCCUCUUCGAUAAAAUAUAGAGCCGAUUACGCUGCCGCUUAAAGGUCCAUACACACCGGACGCGAUUCAACAACGCGACGCGAUGUUUUGAUUUUCAUUGAACGAUCAUUUUGAUCCUAGUUUAAAUUUUCCAAAUAUGUAGAAGCGCUAUAACAUUUUGAGUUAUUUGGUUUACAUAUCUUUUAAAAUUUGCUUUCAUUGGCUGUUUUAUUAAUUUUCAAAAACUAAAUUGUCCAAUCGCGUCCGGUAUGUCUGGACCUUAAGACACCAUGCACGAUGUUUUAAUCAGAUAGUCUAUAGAAUACAGGUCCUCGCAAAAUUGUAACAGCGUUGUCUCUGUAUCUACAAACAGUCAGAAAGUAAUGUUCCCAGUGGCGGCGCCACAGGGAGGACUGGGGAGGACACGUCCCCCCCCCAGUUCUUUUCAAGGUCAAUUUUCUAAUUUGUCCAAAUCCGGUGAGAAAAAUGAGGGGGUAGUUUGUGACAUCAGUCCAGUUAUUUAGAUCUAACUUGAUAAAUUCAGUCUUUAUUGUGUGAAUAAAAACCGGUAUUAAAAGAUCAUCGCUUUACUUUUGACAAAAGUCUGUUUCAUAUAUGCGAUAUUUACCAUUAGCAUAUUGCAGGCACUGAUUAUGGCUGCCGAAAGAAACCCACCAUAAUGGGUUAAUAUAUUACCCAAAUUAAGUGCAAGGGGUAAUGUGUGAUGCAUCAUGCAGAAGUUUGAUCCUGCUGCUGAGAUGUGAGGGAGAUAUGUUAAUUAAUGCACCGUUCGCGCAACGUAUGGUCAUUAGCUUCUUGGAACGCAUCACUACACAACUGAAAGAGAAAAAUGUUUGAAGGAAAAGAUUCAUCAAGUGAAAUUGUGUGUGAGGGAGGCAAAUAGAACCGUCGUUUUCGAAUCUGGACGGUUAGACCUAUCUUAGAUUUUUCAACAUCGGAAAUAUCGGUGAGAAAGUUUACAUUCCAAAUGAAAUGGUACGAAGAGUACAUAUGGCUGGAAUAUUCAAUGUAACAACUGGAAGAUUACAUACGAGCAUCAUAUCAGCGAAGAGAAGGAAAGGAAAGAGUCUAGAGAAAGGGUUCAAAAGAAAGUAUCCACCUUGCAUCUGCUUGCCCUCCUUGCUCGAAGUUUUCAGCAAAGAUGAUCUGCACCACCUUUAUCCCGAUUUGUUUGAGGUCGCUACCUUGCCUGUGAUAGUGGCAUCAUGUGAGAGCACACACAGCAAGGUCAAAAUAAAAUGAUGUUGACUUCAUUUUUCCUGGAAGUAGCAAUUCCUUUAGGCAGCUGUCAAUCAAUGUAAUCGUAGUCAAUAGAAUAAGAAGGUUAAGGAACUCGAUACAGACAUAAUAGACCUAUCUAUGUUUUUGUCUUGGUUUAUGCAAAAAAAUGGUCGGUUCAUCGUCAUGUGUGUAUUGUAUUUUCGCUAGAGUAACCAAUAGUUAUUAUGUUUUUGUUUAGCCAUUGCGUAAUAUUACGACUGGGUAAUUAAACCAGCACACUGCUAUUGGUAAAAAAUAUUACACACGUGACGAUGAAUCGAUCGUUCCUUGCAUAAACCAGACAAAAAUAUAGAUAAUGAGGUCUUUUGCUGUAUGGCUGCAUCGAGUUCCCUGACCUCAUUCUAUUGACUAUGAUGUAAUACUACAUUUGUAGGUCUAUAUAUACGUUUCAAACACUCAUUAAUAAUUCAUAAGCUUAUUGGCAAAUCAUGUCAACCAUAAUAUGUCACGUGCAUAUAAAGAAUACUAAUAAGGCAGUAUCUAUUGUUGUCGUGUCGUCAUUAGUAUUUUUUAUAUAAAGAAUACUAAUAAGGCAGUAUAUCUAUUGAAUUUGUAGUCGUGUUUGAAGCCGUUUAAUAAUCUCGCAGGUCGUGUUUUAUUAGGUCUAAAGCCACUCGCGCUGCGCGCUCGUGGCUUUAAACCUAAUAAAACACUCCUGCUCGUUUAUUAAACAGUACAUAGUCAUGAAAAAAUCGUGUGUUUUGUUUACUUUAUAAUCUUCGGAAUUCUGUAUAAUCUUACCCUGAAAAUGCAGGAAAUCGUAUUUCAGGGACUCUAGGGCUUUCACCGCUCGAAAAUCCCCCCCCCCCCACACUUUUAAAAGGCCGCACUGAAUGUUCCCUAAACAGGUGGUGGCCCAAGUUAUUUAAUCAACAAUUAUUACUAUUAUCCGCACCUAGAAUCCAACUAUACAGUAGGUUGAUGCUUAUUGAAUAUUGUAUUGUAGCUCAGUUUAGAACUCCCAAUAUAUACGUGUAUGUACAGUAUACCCGUUUCGGAAUUAAUAGGCGAAUUAUAAUAGCGCGUAUAUGAUAUGCGUAUUUGCAGGGCGCUAUAAAACACGUCUUUUAUAGCGCCCUAAUAUUUGUUUUUAAUGCGUAUUCGUAUGAUACGCGCGUUCGUAUGAUACGCGUAUAUUCGUAUGAUACGCGUAUUCGUAUGAUACGCGUAUUCGUAUGAUACGCGUAUUACUCGUAUUCGUAUGAUACGCGUAUUCUAUGAUACGCGUAUUCUAUGAUGCGCAUAUUCGUAUGAUACGCGUAGCAUACGCGUAUCAUACGCGUAUCGUAUGUUAAGAUAUACGCGAGCGGUACUGUAGUUACAGUUACAAAGUUACAAUAUAUUUUUUGUAACUUAGUUACAAAGUUACAAGUUACAUUUAUUGAUUGCAAUUAAGAACGCAUACAAUUCGAAUGGGCCGAAUGGUAAUGAAACUUGCGGCAAAAUUGUUGGCAAAAUUAAUAACUAUUUACUAGAUGUAUCUGCAUGCAUCUGUAAAAUUCCACCAAAUCGAUUUUUUAAUAGAAUUGUCAAUUAGAAAAACUCUGCUAUUAUACAGUCUGAACGAAGAUUUUGAAAAAAAAUAUCCCUCACUGGCUAGUGGCUUCUGACUUCGUAAUGAAAAAGCAGAAACGUGAAUACGUGAUCAUGACUGGGCCAAGGCCAAGUGAAAUGAGGCCAAAGACCAAUUAUGACGAGGCCAAGGCCCAAGUGAAGGCGAGCGACGGCAUUCCGAUCAGUUCCAACUGUACGUAAAUUUGACGUCAAUCUUUGACUUAAAUUUGUGUCUUGAACGGAUUCUGUUUUGUCAGAUUAAAUUAUUCCUGUGCAGACGAUUAAGAGCUUGUCUGACUGUGUAUUGAUUAAUUUCAUUUUAAAAACGUACACAAAUAGCAACGAACAAAAUGUAACUUGUAACUUUGGCAAAAUAACUUGUAAUCGUUUCAAUUUUAUGGCAUUUUUUGUAACUAGUUACCGUUACAGUUACAUGUUCUCAAAAUGUAACAAGUUACCGUUACCGUUACUGAAAAAUGUAACGAUUACUUGUAACUAGUUACUUUUAACGAAGUUACUUACAGCAUUGAAUGCAAAGCACAAAAAAGAAGUUCUACAACAACGAUAAAAAUGCUUUUAUAUUAAUGCAACACUGUAUAAAUUCUCAACCCUAACUUCAGCGCAUCUAGCUAGACCUAUGAUAAUAUUACUUAAUAUCAAUAAUAUGUCAACCUUUGAAAAUAUUAAAGGUUCAGACACACCGGACGCAAAUUCUACAAGGUGACGCGAUUUUUCGAUUUUCACUGACCAAUAACUUUGAUCCUUGUUUAAACUUUCUAAAUAUUUAGAAGCCUUAUAACAUUUCGAGUUAUUUGGUUAAAAUUUGCUCUCAUUGGCUGCUUUAAUUAAACUUUCAAAAACUAAAAAAUCGUGUCGCAUUGUCGAAUCGCGUCCGGUGUGUCUGGACCUUAAGCCAGAUUUUGUAUGUCACUGAUGGUUGGCGAUGCACUCGGAUAAUUUUUUAUAGUGAUCAUUGUCCAUUGAAGGAGAAAAACUAUUUCAUGUAGACAAAGGAUUUUACUCAUCAAUGAUCAAAGACAAUGGUACUGAAAGAACAUCCAAAAGAAUUGCUAUCAAGCCAUUUGCAAACGAAUUCAGUAUCUUUUCCAGUGAAAUCUGCCAUGUUAUAGUCCGCCAAUCGCCAUGACGGAAAACGUCUAAGUCCCCACCCCCGGGCUGAAAAAUUUCGGCGAUAGUCCCACCCCCAGGAUUAGGAAAGCUGCGAAGGCCUGGGGGUGGGAUGGGCACUGCUGGAAUUGACUGAUACAUGAUGAAUUUUAUAUCCAGUCAUGCACAGAAAAGAUGUAUAUUCACUUAAAGUGCAUAUGACAUGAAAUUUCUCAUUUUCUUAAACGAAAAAACUCUUUAAGCUGUAGUGUAACUUAUUUUUCAGUUUCUUGUUUUUAUGGUUUGUUCCCGAGAUAUUUCAAUUUGUUUGAUAUGUAAAUCAGUGUGAAAAUGUCCGCUAAUUUAUGACGUCAUGUUUGGUUGCAAGCUCAACUUACACUGGUUAUGUAUUCAGGUUCCGAUGUUUACGUCAUUGUAUUUUCAUAUAGUAUAUUAUCCUAAGGCUGGCAACUCUUUCACACAAUGUAUUUACACACAUUAAUAUGGUCGCUUGAAACAACAAAAACAAUGCUAGUUUCUGAAAAAGAAUCAAAUACAAAACACCUUGGAUAUAUUUUCUAAAUUUAUUAAUAUUUUUUAGAGUUGAAAAAAGUUUAGAAGUGCUUAAAUUUCUUCAAUAAAAAUUUAGUUUUAUCCAAAUUGUGCUCUAGAUAGGCAGGAUGCAAAUUAUUCGGCAAACGUUUUCAUCGGAAAAACCAUCGUCUUAUUGCUCAUUGAAUGAAGUAUAUGUUAUAUUUGGAAUAACGAGGAAUUUCGACAAAUAGGAAAUUUGUUUCGUCAACCCCCCCCCCCCCUCACACCGGAAGUUUCCCCCCCUCUGGGUUUCACCCUGGGGGAGGUGGGAGGUACAGCUGUUCUAGACACCCAGCUGUUUAGGAGCCCCCUUCACACCGGAAUCUUCGCCCCCCUCCCCCCCCCCUCUGAUUUCGACCCAGCGGGAAGUGGGAAAACUCAAUCUUCUCUGUAAAAAUGGCCUACCAAAAAAUCAUGAAAAACUACCUGCUCAUGAGUAUUUUGGAUGAGACAGACAUUGCAGCAUGUUACUGGUAUCGAUUGUAGAUAAUUAUAUGUGACAACUGUGCAUUGUUUGGAUUGAAAAUAUUUUUAACAAUAGAUUUUAAAGGUGCCCUACAGUCCGUAUGUAAACAAAGCCUUUGUUUACAUUUUUGUGUCCAAAAUUUUGAGCUUUAUUCGACCACUACUUAUAUUUUCAAGCUUCUAGAGUAUAAUAAAUGAUCAAGAAACAACAAUCAGGCUUUUCAAGAACCCAAAACAUAGUUAAACUGUUUGUAUCAUAAAAAGUGGGCUCCUUUGUGCACAUGCGCAGAUCGGACUGUAUAGCACCUUUAAUUAAUCCAGUAUGCUUGUUUUUACAGAUCUUACUCACAAGCUACUUAUGAACAACACACAAAUAUUGAUCCUCAUAUUUUUGUAAAGAAUGAAUUAAGAGAUAUUAAUAAUUCUAUACUCAAUG